rnacentral:tRNA from 1 species
GGACUCUUAGCUCAGCUGGCUAGAGCAUCCGCUUGACGUGCGGAGGGUCAGGGGUUCAAAUCCCUUAGAGUCCA